AGUGAACGCUGGCGGUAGGCCUAACACAUGCAAGUCGAACGGCAGCACAGUAAGAGCUUGCUCUUACGGGUGGCGAGUGGCGGACGGGUGAGGAAUACAUCGGAAUCUACUUUUUCGUGGGGGAUAACGUAGGGAAACUUACGCUAAUACCGCAUACGACCUACGGGUGAAAGCAGGGGAUCUUCGGACCUUGCGCGAUUGAAUGAGCCGAUGUCGGAUUAGCUAGUUGGCGGGGUAAAGGCCCACCAAGGCGACGAUCCGUAGCUGGUCUGAGAGGAUGAGCAGGCAGACGGGAACAGAGACACGGUAUGGACUCAUGCGGGAGCCAGCAGUGGGGGAUAGUGGAAGAAGGGCGCAAGCCUGAACAAGCCAUACCGCGAGGGUGAAGAAGAGCUUCGGGUUGUAAAGCUCUUUUGAUGGGAAAGAAAAGAAGCAGGUUAGUAACCCGCUGUUCUGAAGGUACGGAAAGAAUAAGCACCGGCUAACUUGGUG
rnacentral:rRNA from 1 species